rnacentral:rRNA from 1 species
AUGAACGCUAGCGACAGGCUUAACACAUGCAAGUCGAGGGGCAGCACAGGUAGCAAUACCGGGUGGCGACCGGCGCACGGGUGAGUAACGCGUAUGCAACUUGCCUAUCAGAGGGGGAUAACCCGGCGAAAGUCGGACUAAUACCGCAUGAAGCAGGGGCCCCGCAUGGGGAUAUUUGCUAAAGAUUCAUCGCUGAUAGAUAGGCAUGCGUUCCAUUAGGCAGUUGGCGGGGUAACGGCCCACCAAACCGACGAUGGAUAGGGGUUCUGAGAGGAAGGUCCCCCACAUUGGUACUGAGACACGGACCAAACUCCUACGGGAGGCAGCAGUGAGGAAUAUUGGUCAAUGGGCGUAAGCCUGAACCAGCCAAGUCGCGUGAGGGAUGAAGGUUCUAUGGAUCGUAAACCUCUUUUAUAAGGGAAUAAAGUGCGGGACGUGUCCCGUUUUGUAUGUACCUUAUGAAUAAGGAUCGGCUAACUCCGUGCCAGCAGCCGCGGUAAUACGGAGGAUCCGAGCGUUAUCCGGAUUUAUUGGGUUUAAAGGGUGCGUAGGCGGCCUUUUAAGUCAGCGGUGAAAGUCUGUGGCUCAACCAUAGAAUUGCCGUUGAAACUGGGGGGCUUGAGUAUGUUUGAGGCAGGCGGAAUGCGUGGUGUAGCGGUGAAAUGCAUAGAUAUCACGCAGAACCCCGAUUGCGAAGGCAGCCUGCCAAGCCAUUACUGACGCUGAUGCACGAAAGCGUGGGGAUCAAACAGGAUUAGAUACCCUGGUAGUCCACGCAGUAAACGAUGAUCACUAGCUGUUUGCGAUACACUGUAAGCGGCACAGCGAAAGCGUUAAGUGAUCCACCUGGGGAGUACGCCGGCAACGGUGAAACUCAAAGGAAUUGACGGGGGCCCGCACAAGCGGAGGAACAUGUGGUUUAAUUCGAUGAUACGCGAGGAACCUUACCCGGGUUUGAACGCAUUCGGACCGAGGUGGAAACACCUUUUCUAGCAAUAGCCGUUUGCGAGGUGCUGCAUGGUUGUCGUCAGCUCGUGCCGUGAGGUGUCGGCUUAAGUGCCAUAACGAGCGCAACCCUUGCCACUAGUUACUAACAGGUAAAGCUGAGGACUCUGGUGGGACUGCCAGCGUAAGCUGCGAGGAAGGCGGGGAUGACGUCAAAUCAGCACGGCCCUUACAUCCGGGGCGACACACGUGUUACAAUGGCGUGGACAAAGGGAGGCCACCUGGCGACAGGGAGCGAAUCCCCAAACCACGUCUCAGUUCGGAUCGGAGUCUGCAACCCGACUCCGUGAAGCUGGAUUCGCUAGUAAUCGCGCAUCAGCCAUGGCGCGGUGAAUACGUUCCCGGGCCUUGUACACACCGCCCGUCAAGCCAUGGGAGCCGGGGGUACCUGAAGUCCGUAACCGCGAGGAUCGGCCUAGGGUAAAACUGGUGACUGGGGCU